rnacentral:rRNA from 1 species
AAAGACCCACCACAGAAGGUAAUAGUCCUGUAUGUUAAACGAGAAGACUUUAGAUAUGAUCCAGAGUACCACGGGACACGUGAAACCCUGUGGGAAGCAGGAGGGACCACCCUCCAAGGCUAAAUACUACCUAGUGACCGAUAGCGUAUAGUACCGUGAGGGAAAGGUGAAAAGAACCCCGGGAGGGGAGUGAAAUAGAACCUGAAACCCUGCACUUACAAGCUGUGGAAGCACAUUUCUUGUGUGACCGCGUACUUUUUGUAGAACGGGCCAACGAGUUACGUUAAGUAG